CCCCUUUUUGACAUCAUCAAACAUGGUUAACUCCUCCUUUUUCUGAAACAUUCUUUAAUUUCUUUCCCUUUAGGGUUUAUCACAGAUGUUUGCUCCCCCUUAAUGUAGCAAUUAUUAACAGCAAACAACAACAAAGAGAAGACAAUAUUUCAACAAGGAGAAUAUAUAUAUAACCAAAAUAUAAUCGUCAUCAUUACAAAAGGUAGAGAUAUAAGUAAAAGAUGAUACCAUAAAACC
rnacentral:lncRNA from 1 species